rnacentral:rRNA from 1 species
UACGGAGGGUGCUAGCGUUGUUCGGAAUUACUGGGCGUAAAGCGCACGUAGGCGGCUUUGCAAGUCAGAGGUGAAAGCCCGGGGCUCAACCCCGGAAUUGCCUUUGAGACUGCAUCGCUAGAAUUGUGGAGAGGUAAGUGGAAUUCCGAGUGUAGAGGUGAAAUUCGUAGAUAUUCGGAAGAACACCAGUGGCGAAGGCGACUUACUGGACACAUAUUGACGCUGAGGUGCGAAAGCGUGGGGAGCAAACAGG